CUACGGGAGGCUGCAGUGGGGAAUAUUGCACAAUGGGCGCAAGCCUGAUGCAGCCAUGCCGCGUGUGUGCAGAAGGCCUUCGGGUUGUAAAGCACUUUCAGCGGGGAGGAAGGCGUUAAGGUUAAUAACCUUGUCGAUUGACGUUACCCGCAGAAGAAGCACCGGCUAACUCCGUGCCAGCAGCCGCGGUAAUACGGAGGGUGCAAGCGUUAAUCGGAAUUACUGGGCGUAAAGCGCACGCAGGCGGUCUGUCAAGUCGGAUGUGAAAUCCCCGGGCUCAACCUGGGAACUGCAUUCGAAACUGGCAGGCUAGAGUCUUGUAGAGGGGGGUAGAAUUCCAGGUGUAGCGGUGAAAUGCGGAGAGAUCUGGAGGAAUACCGGUGGCGAAGGCGGCCCCCUGGACAAAGACUGACGCUCAGGUGCGAAAGCGUGGGGAGCAAACAGGAUUAGAUACCCGAGUAGUC
rnacentral:rRNA from 1 species